rnacentral:pre_miRNA from 1 species
GGUGCCUCCCGCGGCCACGGGUAUUCUUGGGUAUAUAAUACAGAUUGCGUUGUUAUUGCUUAAGAAUACACGUAGCCGCGGCGGGCCGC